rnacentral:rRNA from 1 species
CUCAGGAUGAACGCUGGCGGCGUGCUUAACACAUGCAAGUCGAACGAUGAUGCCAGCUUGCUGGUGGAUUAGUGGCGAACGGGUGAGUAACACGUGAGUAACCUGCCCUUGACUCUGGGAUAAGCCUGGGAAACUGGGUCUAAUACCGGAUAUGACCUUCCAUCGCAUGGUGGUUGGUGGAAAGCUUUUGUGGUUUUGGAUGGACUCGCGGCCUAUCAGCUUGUUGGUGGGGUAAUGGCCUACCAAGGCGACGACGGGUAGCCGGCCUGAGAGGGUGACCGGCCACACUGGGACUGAGACACGGCCCAGACUCCUACGGGAGGCAGCAGUGGGGAAUAUUGCACAAUGGGCGCAAGCCUGAUGCAGCGACGCCGCGUGAGGGAUGACGGCCUUCGGGUUGUAAACCUCUUUCAGUAGGGAAGAAGCGUAAGUGACGGUACCUGCAGAAGAAGCGCCGGCUAACUACGUGCCAGCAGCCGCGGUAAUACGUAGGGCGCAAGCGUUAUCCGGAAUUAUUGGGCGUAAAGAGCUCGUAGGCGGUUUGUCGCGUCUGCCGUGAAAGUCCGGGGCUCAACUCCGGAUCUGCGGUGGGUACGGGCAGACUAGAGUGAUGUAGGGGAGACUGGAAUUCCUGGUGUAGCGGUGAAAUGCGCAGAUAUC